GAACGCGAAGAACCUUACCCGGGCUUGAAUUGCAGACGAACGAUUCAGAGAUGAAGAGGCCCUUCGGGGCGUCUGUGAAGGUGCUGCAUGGUUGUCGUCAGCUCGUGCCGUGAGGUGUCGGCUUAAGUGCCAUAACGAGCGCAACCCCUUUUCUUAGUUGCCAUCAGGUAAUGCUGGGCACUCUGGGAAUACUGCCACCGUAAGGUGUGAGGAAGGUGGGGAUGACGUCAAAUCAGCACGGCCCUUACGUCCGGGGCUACACACGUGUUACAAUGGCCGGUACAGAAGGCAGGUUGCAUGUAAAUGCGAUCGAAUCUUAAAAGCCGGUCCCAGUUCGGACUGAGGUCUGCAACCCGACCUCACGAAGCUGGAUUCGCUAGUAAUCGCGCAUCAGCCAUGGCGCGGUGAAUACGUUCCCGGGUCUUGUACACACC
rnacentral:rRNA from 1 species